GACGAACGCUGGCGGCGUGCUUAACACAUGCAAGUCGAACGAAGUGGCGAACGGGUGAGUACUACGUGGGUAACCUGCCCUCCUUUUUGGGAUAAGCCUUGGAAACGGGGUCUAAUACCGAAUAAAGGGGGAUGGGCUCUCGGCCUAUCAGCUUGUUGGUGGGGUUAUGGCUUACUAGGGCGGUGACGGGUAGCCGGCCUGAGAGGGUGAGCGGCCACAUUGUGACUGAGAGACGGCCCAGACUCCUACGGGAGGCAGCAGUGGGGAAUUUUGGACAAUGGGCGCAAGCCUGAUCCAGCCAUGCCGCGUGUCUGAAGAAGGCCUUCGGGUUGUAAAGGACUUUUGUUAGGGAAGACGUACCUUAAGAAUAAGCACCGGCUAACUACGUGCCAGCAGCCGCGGUAAUAC
rnacentral:rRNA from 1 species